AUUGAACGCUGGCGGCAGGCCUAACACAUGCAAGUCGGGCGAGCGGUGGACGGGUGAGUAAUGUAUGGGGUUCUGCCUGAUGGCGGGGGAUCACUACUGGAAACGGUAGCUAAUACCGCAUACCAUCAGAUGAACCCAUAUGGGAUUAGCUAGUAGGUAAGGUAACGGCUUACCUAGGCGACGAUGCCUAGCUGGUCUGAGAGGAUGAUCUGCAACACUGGGACUGGGACACGGCCCAGACUCCUACGGGAGGCAGCAUUGGGGAAUAUUGCACAAUGGGCGCAAGCCUGAUGCAGCCAUACCGCGUGUAUGAAGAAGGCCUUCGGGUUGUAAGGUACUUUCAGUCGGGAGGCGUUACCGACAGAAGAAGCACCGGCUAACUCCGUGCCAGCAGCCGCGGUAAUUC
rnacentral:rRNA from 1 species